AGCGAACGCUGGCGGCAGGCUUAACACAUGCAAGUCGAGCGGGCAUCCUUGUGGUGUCAGCGGCAGACGGGUGAGUAACGCGUGGGAACGUGCCCUUCGGUUCGGAAUAACUCAGGGAAACUUGAGCUAAUACCGGAUACGCCCUUUUGGGGAAAGGUUUACUGCCGAAGGAUCGGCCCGCGUCUGAUUAGCUAGUUGGUGAGGUUAUGGCUCACCAAGGCGACGAUCAGUAGCUGGUCUGAGAGGAUGAUCAGCCACACUGGGACUGAGACACGGCCCAGACUCCUACGGGAGGCCGCAGUGGGGAAUAUUGGACAAUGGGGGCAACCCUGAUCCAGCCAUGCCGCGUGAGUGAUGACGGCCUUAGGGUUGUAAAGCUCUUUUCUCCGGGACGAUAAUGACGGUACCGGAGGAAUAAGCCCCGGCUAACUUCGUG
rnacentral:rRNA from 1 species